rnacentral:rRNA from 1 species
UACAGAGGGUGCGAGCGUUAAUCGGAAUUACUGGGCGUAAAGCGUGCGUAGACGGUUAUUUAAGUCGGGUGUGAAAGCCCCGGGCUCAACCUGGGAAUUGCAUUCGAGACUGAAUAGCUAGGGUACGGUAGAGGGAAGUGGAAUUUCCGGUGUAGCGGUGAAAUGCGUAGAUAUCUGGAGGAACACCGGUGGCGAAGGCGGCAUCCUGGACCAACACUGACGCUGAGUGAGCGAAAGCCAGGGGAGCAAACGGG